rnacentral:rRNA from 1 species
GACAGAGGGGGCAAGCGUUGCUCGGAAUCACUGGGCGUAAAGGGCGCGUAGGCGGGAUGGCAAGUCAGUCGUGAAAUCUCUCGGCUCAACCGAGAAACGUCGGCUGAUACUGCCGUUCUUGAGGGAUGCAGAGGAGACUGGAAUUCCCGGUGUAGCGGUGAAAUGUGUAGAGAUCGGGAGGAACACCGGUGGCGAAGGCGGCGACCUGGGCCAAUACUGACGCUGAGGUGCGAAAGCGUGGGGAGCAAACAGG